rnacentral:rRNA from 1 species
GACGAACGCUGGCGGCGUGCUUAACACAUGCAAGUCGAACGGAAAGGCCCUGCUUUUGUGGGGUGCUCGAGUGGCGAACGGGUGAGUAACACGUGAGUAACCUGCCCUUGACUUUGGGAUAACUUCAGGAAACUGGGGCUAAUCCCGGAUAGGAGCUCCGGCUGCAUGGUGGGGGUUGGAAAGUUUCGGCGGUUGGGGAUGGACUCGCGGCUUAUCAGCUUGUUGGUGGGGUAGUGGCUUACCAAGGCUUUGACGGGUAGCCGGCCUGAGAGGGUGACCGGCCACAUUGGGACUGAGAUACGGCCCAGACUCCUACGGGAGGCAGCAGUGGGGAAUAUUGCACAAUGGGCGGAAGCCUGAUGCAGCAACGCCGCGUGCGGGAUGACGGCCUUCGGGUUGUAAACCGCUUUCGCCUGUGACGAAGCGUGAGUGACGGUAAUGGGUAAAGAAGCACCGGCUAACUACGUG